rnacentral:hammerhead_ribozyme from 1 species
ACCCAACUGAUGAGUCCAAAAUAGGACGAAACAUGUGUCUUGAAU